AUAAUACUCCAUAGAUUAGAGACACUGGAAUGUUCUUUAGUCGAAAGUUCUGGCGCCUUAGGAUGGAUCUGCGGUCGAUUAGGUUGUUGUUGGGGUAACGGCCCAACAAGCCUGUAAUCGAUACGGGUUGUGGGAGCAAGAGCCCGGAGAUGGAAUCUGAGACACGAUUCCAGGCCCUACGGGGCGCAGCAGGCGCGAAAACUUUACAAUGCAGGAAACUGUGAUAAGGGAACUCCGAGUGCCCGUAUACGCGGGCUGUCCAGGUGUUUAAAAAUCAUCUGAAGAAAGGGCCGGGCAAGACCGGUGCCAGCCGCCGCGGUAAUACCGGCGGCUCGAGUGGUGGCCACUAUUAUUGGGCUUAAAGCGUCCGUAGCUGGACCGAUAAGUCUCUUGGGAAAUCCGCCGGCUCAACCGGCGGGCGUCUAAGGGAUACUGUUAGUCUAGGGACCGGGAGAGGUGAGAGGUACUCCGGGGGUAGGAGUGAAAUCCUGUAAUCCCCGGGGGACCACCGAUGGCGAAGGCAUCUCACCAGAACGGCUCCGACAGUGAGGGACGAAAGCUGGGGGAGCGAACCGGAUUGGAUACCCGGUAGUCCCAGCCGUAACUAUGCGCGUUAGGUGU
rnacentral:rRNA from 1 species